rnacentral:rRNA from 1 species
GAUGAACGCUGGCGGCGUGCCUAAUACAUGCAAGUCGAGCGAAUGGAUUAAGAGCUUGCUCUUAUGAAGUUAGCGGCGGACGGGUGAGUAACACGUGGGUAACCUGCCCAUAAGACUGGGAUAACUCCGGGAAACCGGGGCUAAUACCGGAUAACAUUUUGAACCGCAUGGCUCGAAAUUGAAAGGCGGCUUCGGCUGUCACUUAUGGAUGGACCCGCGUCGCAUUAGCUAGUUGGUGAGGUAACGGCUCACCAAGGCAACGAUGCGUAGCCGACCUGAGAGGGGGAUCGGCCACACUUGGACUGAGACACGGCCCAGACUCCUACGGGAGGCAGCAGUAGGGAAUCUUCCGCAAUGGACGAAAGUCUGAUGGAGCAACGCCGCGUGAGUGAUGAAGGCCUUCGGGUCGUAAAACUCUGUUGUUAGGGAAGAACAAGUGCUAGUUGAAUAAGCUGGCACCUUGACGGUACCUAACCAGAAAGCCACGGCUAACUACGUGCCAGCCGCCGCAGUAA